rnacentral:rRNA from 1 species
CGGAGGCAGCAGUGGGGAAUUUUGGACAAUGGGGGCAACCCUGAUCCAGCAAUGCCGCGUGUGUGAAGAAGGCCUUCGGGUUGUAAAGCANUUUUGUCCGGAAAGAAAUCGCGCUGGNUAAUACCNGGCGUGGAUGACGGUACCGGAAGAAUAANCNCCGGCUAANUACGUNCCAGCAGCCGCGGUAAUANGUAGGGNGCGAGCGUUAAUNGGAAUUNCUGGGCGUAAAGCGUGCGCAGGCGNUUUUGUANGACAGGCGUGAAAUCCCCGGNCUUAACCUGGGAAUGGCGCUUGUGACUGCAAGGCUAGAGUGCGUCAGAGGGGGGUAGAAUUCCACGUGUAGCAGUGAAAUGNGUAGAGAUGUGGAGGAAUCCCGAUGGNGAAGGCANCCCCCUGGGACGAGACUGACGCUCAUGCACGAAAGCGUGGGGAGCAAACAGGAUUAGAUNCCCUGGUAGUCCACGCCCUAAACGAUGUCAACUAGUUGUUGGGGAUUCAUUUCCCUCAGUAACGUAGCUAACGCUGAANUU